rnacentral:rRNA from 1 species
UACGUAGGGACCAAGCGUUGUUCGGAUUUACUGGGCGUAAAGGGCGCGUAGGCGGCGCGGUAAGUCACUUGUGAAAUCUCUGAGCUUAACUCAGAACGGCCAAGUGAUACUGCAGUGCUAGAGUGUGGAAGGGGCAAUCGGAAUUCUUGGUGUAGCGGUGAAAUGCGCAGAUAUCAGGAGGAACACCAAUAGCGAAGGCAGCUCGCUGGGACGGUAUUGACGCUAAGGCGCGAAAGCGUGGGGAGCAAACAGG